CUGCUGCAAAGAUUCCAGCUGCAGUGGGGGAGCCGCAGCCAUGGCUGCACAUUCUGUGGAGCCCGUGGGAGCUGGGAACAGG
rnacentral:miRNA from 10 species